GCGUGGUGUUGGAGGUCAUGUAGAUGGCGGUGGUGGUGAUGAAUACCGGUAGCUAAUUGAUGGCGGUGUCUGAGGAUUUGAUGGUGUUGGUUGAGGCGAUUGUACUGUAGGAGGAGGAGGCGGUGGAGGUGAUAAUGAUUUAUUCACAGGUGACGUCCUAGAUUCUGGCGGUGGAGCACCCAUUGUGGGUGGGUAUAACUUUUCUGGGGGUGGCGGAGAGGAAGGAUUUACGUGAUAAGCAGGUGGCGAAGUCUCAACAUGUGGAGGGGGUGGUGAUGUGUAGAGAUACGUAGAAGGUGGCGGUGGUGGUAGUGGAGGUGGUGGUGAUGUGUAAAAAUAAGUAGCAGCUGGUGGUGGUGAUGAUUCACAAGGCCCUGGAGUUGCAUUGUAAUGUGAAGGGGAUGGUGGUGGCAAGGGUGAUGCUUCAGGGAUCAAAUAAGUUGGAGGAGGCGGGGAUGGUUGUGGCAAGGGUGAUGCUUCAGGAAUCAAAUAAAUUGAAGGAGACGGUGAAGGUGGCGGUGGUGGUGGUGGUGGUGGCGGCGGCGAUGAUUCUGGGGUGCAAGCAAUUGGAGGAG